rnacentral:rRNA from 1 species
CAGUAGCCACGGGAAUACGUAGGUGGCGAGCGUUGUCCGGAAUUAUUGGGCGUAAAGGGAGCGCAGGCGGACAUAUAAGUCCAUCUUAAAAGUGCGGGGCUCAACCCCGUGAGGGGAUGGAAACUGUAUGCCUUGAGUGCAGGAGAGGAAAGCGGAAUUCCCAGUGUAGCGGUGAAAUGCGUAGAUAUUGGGAGGAACACCAGUGGCGAAGGCGGCUUUCUGGACUGUAACUGACGCUGAGGCUCGAAAGCCAGGGGAGCAAACAGGAUUAGAUACCCCUGUAGUCCCUGUCUCUUAUACA